rnacentral:rRNA from 1 species
UAAGGAAUAUUGGACAAUGGUCGCAAGACUGAUCCAGCCAUGCCGCGUGCAGGAAGACGGCCCUAUGGGUUGUAAACUGCUUUUGUACCAGAGAAAACCUAUCUACGUGUAGAUAGCUGAUAGUAUGGUAAGAAUAAGCAUCGGCUAACUUCGUGCCAGCAGCCGCGGUAAGACGAAGGAUGCAAGCGUUAUCCGGAUUCAUUGGGUUUAAAGGGUGCGUAGGCGGGCUUGUAAGUCAGUGGUGAAAUCUCUCAGCUUAACUGAGAAACUGCCAUUGAUACUGCAGGCCUAGAGUAUAGAUGACGUUGGCGGAAUAUGACAUGUAGUGGUGAAAUACUUAGAUAUGUCAUAGAACACCGAUUGCGAAGGCAGCUAACGAAACUAUAACUGACGCUGAGGCACGAAAGUGCGGGGAUCAAACA